rnacentral:rRNA from 1 species
AACACAUGCAAGUCGAGGGGCAGCGAGAUUGAAGCUUGCUUCAAUUGUCGGCGACCGGCGCACGGGUGAGUAACACGUAUCCAACCUACCGUUUACUCUCGGAUAGCCUUCCGAAAGGAAGAUUAAUACGGGAUGGUAUUGNGGGUUCACAUGUUCUCUCAAUUAAAGAAUUUCGGUAAACGAUGGGGAUGCGUUCCAUUAGAUAGUAGGCGGGGUAACGGCCCACCUAGUCGACGAUGGAUAGGGGUUCUGAGAGGAAGGUCCCCCACAUUGGAACUGAGACACGGUCCAAACUCCUACGGGAGGCAGCAGUGAGGAAUAUUGGUCAAUGGACGAGAGUCUGAACCAGCCAAGUAGCGUGAAGGAUGAAGGUCCUAUGGAUUGUAAACUUCUUUUAUACAGGAAUAAAGUGAGGUACGUGUACCUUUUUGUAUGUACUGUAUGAAUAAGCAUCGGCUAACUCCGUGCCAGCAGCCGCGGUAAUACGGAGGAUGCGAGCGUUAUCCGGAUUUAUUGGGUUUAAAGGGAGCGCAGACGGUUUGUUAAGUCAGUUGUGAAAGUUUGGGGCUCAACCUUAAAAUUGCAAUUGAUACUGGCAGACUUGAGUGCAGAUGAGGUAGGCGGAAUUCGUGGUGUAGCGGUGAAAUGGCUUAGAUAU